AGCAGCCGCGGUAAUUCCAGCUCCAAUAGCGUAUAUUAAAGUUGCUGCAGUUAGAAAGCUCGUAGUUGAAUUUCGGGACCAUCAUGUCGGUCGUGCCUCGGUACGUACUGGUAUUGUUGGUUUCUCCCUUCUGACGAACCAUGAUGUCAUUUAUUUGGUGUUGUGGGGAAUCAGGACUGUUACUUUGAAAAAUUAGAGUGUUUAAAGCAGGCUCACGCUUGAAUACAUUAGCAUGGAAUAAUGAAAUAGGACGUUUGAUUCUAUUUUGUUGGUUUCUAGGAUCGACGUAAUGAUUAAUAGGGAUAGUUGGGGGCAUUAGUAUUCAAUUGUCAGAGGUGAAAUUCUUGGAUUUAUUGAAGACUAACUACUGCGAAAGCAUUUGCCAAGGAUGUUUUCAUUAAUCAAGGACGAAAGUUAGGGGAUCGAAGACGAUCAGAUACCGUCGUAGUCUUAACCAUAAACUAUAGCCGACUAGGGAUCGGAUGAUGUUAAUUUUUAAUGACUCAUUC
rnacentral:rRNA from 1 species